AUGGGUGUUGGGUCCAACAAUUCGCAUUGGUCUCAAACCAAUGAUAUCCAUUUCGAAGACCAUAAGUUUGAGGUGGACGAGGAGGGUGAGGGAAUUGUCGAGGCGCCGAGAGGAAGAGCGGGCAAUUACUCCACCACCGAUGACAAGUUACUAUGCUACACUUAUUUGCAUGUGUCGAAGGAUCCAUCCAUUGGAGGUGAUCAAAGUAGAGACGCGUAUUGGGGGCAUGGGUGCACCUCCGGCCGCCAUGGGAGGCAUGGGUGGCUUUGGAGCACCCUCCGACGCUAUGGCCGCCAUGGGAGGCAUGAGUUUUGCUUCUCUCAUGGGAGGCAUGGGUGCACCUCCGGCCGCCAUGGCUUCUCACACACAUUUCCAUGA
rnacentral:rRNA from 1 species